rnacentral:rRNA from 1 species
GAUGAACGCUAGCGGCAGGCUUAACACAUGCAAGUCGAGGGGCAGCGCGAUGUAGCAAUACAUUGGCGGCGACCGGCGCACGGGUGCGUAACACGUAUGGAACUUACCCUUUACUGGGAGAUAGCCCGGAGAAAUCCGGAUUAAUAUCCCAUAAUAAACGAAGUGGCAUCACUUUGUUUUGAAAGCUCCGGCGGUAAAGGAUGGCCAUGCGCACGAUUAGCUAGUAGGUGAGGUAACGGCUCACCUAGGCUACGAUCGUUAGGGGGCCUGAGAGGGUUAUCCCCCACACUGGUACUGAGACACGGACCAGACUCCUACGGGAGGCAGCAGUGAGGAAUAUUGCGCAAUGGAGGCAACUCUGACGCAGCCAUG